CCUACGGGAGGCAGCAGUGGGGAAUCUUGCGCAAUGGGCGAAAGCCUGACGCAGCAACGCCGCGUGCGGGAAGAAGGCUUUCGGGCUGUAAACCGCUUUCAGCAGGAACGAAAAUGACGGUACCUGCAGAAGAAGGAGCGGCCAACUAUGUGCCAGCAGCCGCGGUGAUACAUAGGCUUCAAGCGUUAUCCGGAUUUAUUGGGCGUAAAGAGUUCGUAGGCGGUCGAGUAAGUCGGGUGUGAAAAUUCUGGGCUCAACCCAGAGACGCCACCCGAUACUGCUUGACUUGAGUUCGAUAGGGGAUGGGGAAUUCCUAGUGUAGCGGUGAAAUGCGCAGAUAUUAGGAGGAACACCGGUGGCGAAGGCGCCACUCUGGAUCGAUACUGACGCUGAGGAACGAAAGCAUGGGUAGCAAACAGGAUUAGAUACCCGUGGUAGUCCAUGCCGUAAACGGUGGGCACUAGGUGUGGGUUUACCUAUUUAACGAAAUUCCGCGCCGUUCGCUUAAACGCAUAGUGCCCGCCGUGGGUAGGUACGGUCGCGAGACGUAAACGUACGAAGUAGUAAGUUAGUACGGUUCGUUGUAGACGUUGCCGACGGCGACGACGAGGGAGGAGG
rnacentral:rRNA from 1 species